rnacentral:rRNA from 1 species
UACGGAGGGAGCUAGCGUUGUUCGGAAUUACUGGGCGUAAAGCGCACGUAGGCGGCUAUCUAAGUCAGGGGUGAAAGCCCGGGGCUCAACCCCGGAAUAGCCUUUGAGACUGGAUAGCUAGAAUCUUGGAGAGGCGGGUGGAAUUCCGAGUGUAGAGGUGAAAUUCGUAGAUAUUCGGAAGAACACCAGUGGCGAAGGCGGCCCGCUGGACAAGUAUUGACGCUGAGGUGCGAAAGCGUGGGGAGCAAAC